rnacentral:rRNA from 1 species
CCUACGGGAGGCAGCAGUAGGGAAUUUUCCGCAAUGGGCGAAAGCCUGACGGAGCAAUACCGCGUGAGGGAUGACGGCCUGUGGGUUGUAAACCUCUUUUCUCAAGGAAGAAGUUCUGACGGUACUUGAGGAAUAAGCAUCGGCUAACUCUGUGCCAGCAGCCGCGGUAAUACAGAGGAUGCAAGCGUUAUCCGGAAUUACUGGGCAUAAAGCGUCUGUAGGUGGUUUGGUAAGUCUGCUGUUAAAGACUAGGGCUCAACCCCAGAAAAGCAGUGGAAACUGCCAGACUUGAGUGUGGUAGAGGUAGAAGGAAUUCCUAGUGUAGCGGUGAAAUGCGUAGAUAUUAGGAAGAACACCAAUGGCGAAGGCAUUCUACUGGACCAUAACUGACACUGAGAGACGACAGCUAGGGGAGCAAAUGGGAUUAGAUACCCCAGUAGUCCUAGCCGUAAACGAUGGAUACUAGAUGUUGCACGUAUUAACCCGUGCAGUAUCGUAGCUAAGGCGUUAAGUAUCCGCUGGAAGACGCUCGCAGAGUAGAACGUAAAGUAAGUAGACGGCGUGAGACGUGCGACGGACGACGACGAGGGAGAGG